AAUGGAGCGUUUGGUUGCCCCCCAUCCCUCUCCAAGCCCUUCCCAUCGUGUGCUGGGCUGCCCACAGUCUCUCAGCCGCCGGGUUUGUGCCAGGAGCCCACGAGUGAGGGGUGACGAGGUGCUGGAGUUCUGCUGGAGACACGGGCAGUGCUUGUGCAGAAGGGAAGCAAACCCAAGGACAGCCCAGGCCUGGACACGAGGACUCUGCCUUGUGGAAGCUGAGAGCUGUUCCUGAGGGACACAGGACACCCUGGGACACGUGAGGACAGACAGACAGAAGGACAGAGGAGCCCCAGCCCUGCCAGGAGCCACGUGGGGUGUGGAGCCCUGGGCAGACCCUCGGCUGCCUGUGCCAAGGAGACCCCCGGGGCUGAGAGCCCUUCUGUGAGAGGUCCUGCCCCUGAAGGCUCCAGUUUGUUUGCAGCACCAGGGCCUUGUGGCUCCAGCUCAUGUGCAGCUUCAGGUCCAGCUCAUGGAUGGUGCCAGCUGGUUUGUGAGUCUGG